GAGUUUGAUCCUGGCUCAGAUUGAACGCUGGCGGCAUGCCUAACACAUGCAAGUCGAACGGAAACGAUGGUAGCUUGCUACCAGGCGUCGAGUGGCGGACGGGGGAGUAACGCGUAGGAAUCUGCCUUGGAGGGGGGGACAACAUGGGGAAACUCAUGCUAAUACCGCAUACGCCCCCUGGGGAAGCGGGGGAUCUUCGGACCUCGCGCUCUAAGAUGAGCCUGCGUCGGAUUAGCUAGUUGGUGAGGUAAUGGCUCACCAAGGCGACGAUCCGUAGCUGGUCUGAGAGGACGACCAGCCACACUGGGACUGAGACACGGCCCAGACUCCUACGGGAGGCAGCAGUGGGGAAUAUUGGACAAUGGGGGCAACCCUGAUCCAGCAAUGCCGCGUGUGUGAAGAAGGCCUGCGGGUUGUAAAGCACUUUCAGCAGCGAGGAAAAGCCUAGGGUUAAUAUUCGAUGGGUCUUGACGUUAACUGCAGAAGAAGCCCCGGCUAACUUCCUGCCAGCAGCAGCCGUAAUACGCAGGGUGCAAGCGUUAAUCGGAAUUGCUGGGCGUAAAGCGCGCGUAGGCGGUUUGCUAAGCCAGGUGUGAAAGCCCCGGGCUUCCACCUGGGAACUGCAUUUGGGACGGGCAGGCUAUAGUACGGUAGAGUGUGGUAGAAUUUCCUGUGUAGCGGUGAAAUGCGUAGAUAUAGGAAGGAAUACCAGUGGCGAAGGCGGCCACCUGGACUGAUACUGACGCUGAGGUGCGAAAGCGUGGGGAGCGAACAGGAUUAGAUACCCUGGUAGUCCACGCCGUAAACGAUGAGCACUAGCUGUUUGGAAUUUAUUCUGAGUAGCGAAGUUAACGCAAUAAGUUGGCCGCCUGGGCAGUACGGCCGCAAGGUUAAAACUCAAAUGAAUUGACGGGGGGCCGCACAAGCGGUGGAGCAUGUGGUUUAAUUCGAUGCAACGCGAAGAACCUUACCUGGUCUUGACAUCCUGCGAACUUUCUAGAGAUAGAUUGGUGCCUUCGGGAACGCAGUGACAGGUGCUGCAUGGCUGUCGUCAGCUCGUGUCGUGAGAUGUUGGGUUAAGUCCCGUAACGAGCGCAACCCUUAUCCUUAGUUGCCAUCAUUUAGUUGGGUACUUUAAGGAGACUGCCGGUGUUAAACCGGAGGAAGGUGAGGACGACGUCAAGUCAUCAUGGCCCUUAUGGGUAGGGCAACACACGUGCUACAAUGGCCGGUACAAAGGGCAGCUAACUCGCGAGCUUAAGCGAAUCCCAUCAAAGCCGGUCGUAGUCCGGAUUGGAGUCUGCAACUCGACUCCAUGAAGUUGGAAUCGCUAGUAAUCGUGGAUCAGAAUGCCACGGUGAAUACGUUCCCGGGCCUUGUACACACCGCCCGUCACACCACGGGAGUAGAUUGCACCAGAAGUAGGUAGUUUAACCUUCGGGAUGACGCUUACCACGGUGUGGUUUAUGACUGGGGUGAAGUCGUAACAAGGUAACC
rnacentral:rRNA from 1 species